CAAAGAUGGAGAAUUUCGUGGCUUAAGGAGGGAGAUCGAAACAAAAAAAAAAAUCCACCGCAAGGCGGCGUGGCGAGCAAAAAAGAACAAGAUCAAUGGUUCAUAUGAUGAUGAUGCUUACCUAGAUUGGGAUAUAACGGUGAAGAAGAAGUUCAAUACCCAUAUGUUCAUACGAUGUUGAUGCUUGUUGACCUGGGCUGGAAGCCUACAUACGUGGACUUAGCUAUUGGCCAGGGUUCUAUAACGAUCUCUGGAUGUAUUUCUGCUACACCAAUUGAGAAACCUAUAGAUAUAGUUGAUGGGAUUCCCUUGGAGAUGCCACUGGUAUACUUCUAUGGCCACCCAAAUCCAAGGAGUACUUUUAUGGGAUUGCAAAUGAUCUGGCACCACACUCGAACAUUGUCAAUUUCAGUGAUGUCUCGGUGUACAGGAUUUGCGGUGGUCAUCAAACUCCCCGCUCAGCUUUGCCUAUCGGUGCAGAGCCUGUGGCAGAUCCUACUCGGCUUGUGGCUGUUAACAUCAGCACGGAUAUGAUCCAUACAGUGCUUGCUGAUUCUUAUGCUAAGGAACCUGAUGAAAUAAUUUCUAGCAAUGCUGCCGGAUUCAUUCAUGUCACAGAUGUUGACAUCCAAAGGAAGAAACUGACGUACAUUGCACCUUGCCCGGGAGACCUGCCAAGCAGGCUGUUGAUCGCGGAUUCGCAUGCUGAGAUGCUACAGUAAUUUACAGUACGCGUAUUCUCAUC